rnacentral:snRNA from 1 species
GGAUGUGAGGGCGAUCUGGCUGCGACAUCUGUCACCCCAUUGAUUGCCAGGGUUGUUUCGGCUGAUCUGGCUGUCUAGGCGGGUGUUCCCUUCCUCCCUCUCCACUCCAUGUGCAUCCCUCCCAAAGCUGCAACUUGGUAGAAGAGGACGGACUUCCCCAAAUAGAGAUGGACCAGUCUUCCAUCAAGGGUAUAGGAGUAGCUGCGCUCCCCUGCUAGAACAUCCAAACAAGCACUCAAGAAAAGCCAGUGGCAUCCUUCUAUGCAAAUACUGUCAGAAGAAGAAAUUAAUUUCAUUUAUUGUAGCAGCAAAAACAGUCAAA